CACUCCUGCGGGAGGCAGCAGUGGGGAAUAUUGCACAAUGGGCGCAAGCCUGAUGCAGCCAUGCCGCGUGUAUGAAGAAGGCCUUCGGGUUGUAAAGUACUUUCAGCGGGGAGGAAGGCGAUAAGGUUAAUAACCUUGUCGAUUGACGUUACCCGCAGAAGAAGCACCGGCUAACUCCGUGCCAGCAGCCGCGGUAAUACGGAGGGUGCAAGCGUUAAUCGGAAUUACUGGGCGUAAAGCGCACGCAGGCGGUCUGUCAAGUCGGAUGUGAAAUCCCCGGGCUCAACCUGGGAACUGCAUUCGAAACUGGCAGGCUAGAGUCUUGUAGAGGGGGGUAGAAUUCCAGGUGUAGCGGUGAAAUGCGUAGAGAUCUGGAGGAAUACCGGUGGCGAAGGCGGCCCCCUGGACAAAGACUGACGCUCAGGUGCAAAAGCGUGGGGAGCAAACAGGAUUAGAAACCCUUGUAGUCCC
rnacentral:rRNA from 1 species